UUACGGUCAUAUGACAUUGAAACACCGGUCCCUGGACGAUCACAAAAGUUAAGCAACGUCGAGACUGGUUAGUACCUAGGUUGGUGACCGCUUAGGAAUACUAGGUUCUGUAA